AGCAGUGCACCAAGCCCUCCUCUUGGCAGGAAGCAGCAGACUAGAGCAAGUGAGGGAGAGUCGAAGCUGGCGGGGGGGUUUUCCCAGACAACAGCCUGUCCCGUGCUGCUCCCUGCCAGCCCCAAAUCAGGAGUCCCCCCACCCCCGCACCACCGUGUUUCUAGUCCUGAGAGUGAUGGGCUGGGGGAUGGAGCCUCUGAAAAUUCCACGAAGGUACUGCCCAGUUUUAGCAAUGAAAGUCCCACGUCACGGGAAACCUCUGAGUCCUGGACAAAUCAAGAUGACAUUUUCUAUGCAUAUGCAAGCAUUAUGCACGGGGCACCUGCCACACCUGCUGCAAGGACCUGGUCCUGCCCCUAGGCCAUCUGCUACGCCAAGGAGACCCUGUGUGUGCAUACAAUACAGUUAAAUAUCAAGGACUGGGGUAGAAAAGGAAGGAAGAAUGGAAGGAGGAAUAGCGGGAGACAGGACAGCCUCAGCGCAAACUUUCAUUUCCUUCCCACCAGAGGGCACUAGGAUCCCCCUCUCCCCACUGCAGUGCUGGCCUGUGAGUUGAACUUUCCACAAUUGCCCAAACCUCUCCUAUAUGACAAGGAGCCCUCAGCCAUUCUGGCCACAGCACCCAGUCCCUCUCCUUAGGAAGCAGAUGAUGCCACCAAGACCCUGAUAUGUGAGAUGACUUGCCCAAGGUCCCACAGCCAGUAAUUUGAAUGCAGGCAGUCAAACCAAGGAGGAAGCAGGGAGCAGCUGUGCCUGGAUGGGCGAGGGUGGAGGACUGCACAGGUCAGGGAGCUCGUUCUGGCUCCUGCCAGGGGAGUCGGCCAUGCAGUGUGUGAAAGGUCUCCUGGUUCCUGGGAGUGUUGGCUGUGAUGACAUCAUCCUAGAAGUCACUGACUGGAUUGGCAAUGGGGCUGAUGCUGAGUGCCUGGCACGCUAUGUGCUGGGCACUGGGCUACACAACGGACACUGAAUACUUUCCAUAGACAACCCUGCACGAUGCAUGACCUUGGGCAAGUUACUUGACCUUUGUGGGCCUCAGUUGCCUUGUCAGUAAAUUGGGGAUAAUAAUAGGACUCACUUCCCAGGAAUAAAUGACUUUCUCCAAGUAAAGCAACUUAAAGUAUUGAUAUCUCCACAGACCAAGCCCUAUAGAGGCGAUGGGGAUAAGGCUUGGGGGCUAGAGAUCCUGCCCAGGUUUUAGCCACGAUUUAAAUCCAGGCCUCUCUGGCUCCUAAACUCAUCCUUAUUUCACCACAUUUUGUUGGCAUCCAAUCCAAGGUCUUCCUUCUCUGGGAAAGGCAAAACCCAGCCCGGAGGGGUGCAAAGCAAAGGCAAAACUCAGCCCGGAGCCACUUCCCCAAGAGCACACAGCAGCAAGCUAGGAGGCCGUGUGGGACAGUGCCCUGCAUGGGGAACAGCCACUUCCCCUCUAUGGGUCUCAGUUUCCUCACCUGUAGAAUGGGUGAAGGGGUUGGUUGGACUUGAAGGGCUCUAAGGCACUGCUGGUUCCAUAUUUGAGUGGUAGAGCCUGAACUUAAAUAACAGAGAUUUGUCAUGGUAGAAGGAGCCAUAAAGCUCAGCCCAUUGAAACUGCUGGUCCCAGAGCUCUGCACACUCCACAGACCCACUGUGUUUGGCUUGCAGAGCAUUUUUAGAAUUUACAUUUGAAUUUGUUUACACAGGCUGCUGUCUCCGGGUUCCACAGCUGGCUCUGCUCCCUAAAGCCUCACACCAGGUCUCCUUACACCCUUCGCACCCUUAUCUCCUUGGUCCCUGAUCUGGUUCAAAACUCCUCAUUGCUCAGAAACUAAUAAUUGUUAUUGUUAUGGAGCUCUUCCUGUGGGUCAGACGCUGUUCUAAGCCCAUUCAUAUGAUCUGACUCAUCUAACCCUCAUAGCAUGCCUCUAUGCAGGUAUCAUUAUGAGCCCAUUUUACAGAUGAGGAACACAAGGCUCGGGGCAGUUAAGCAAUUUGCCUAACACCCUAGGGCAGGACCAAGGCCAGAGAAGGAGCAUAAUUUACCAAAUUGGCAAAAUAGAUUAUCCUGAUUCACUGUGCAGUGCUCUGUGCAUAAAACAGCCUCAGCCAGGGCAGGCAUUUUUGGGGGGCUCCCUCUGGCCCUGCCCUUUGGGGUAUGGUAGAAGGAAGGAGAAGAAAAGUUGUGUCCCCCAGUUCCACACUCUUUCCACCAGACAAUAACCACCCUCUACCCCGCCCAGUCUCUCUGGGAGUCCGAUAUCCUAGCGGCUGCAGAGGAUCAAAACAGCGAGUUAAAAGCGAAAACCCGCAGCAUUUUCUUCACAUUUCCCUCUGCCUCUUGAGGAAGAAGGCGCAAGUGUUUGCAGGAGCUUUCAAGUUCUCAGGAACAGAAAUGAAAUGCUCUCAUGGCUCUUCCUCUACGUUUGAGGCCCUCGGUGCAAAGUGCUAUUAUUAGCAUUGCCUUCAACUAUCUUCCAAACAGGCUUCCCCUGGAAGAAGUAAUUAAAUGCAUUAUUCUAUGCAAAAUAAAAGCACGUAUCCACAUUUGCAGCCUCUGACACCAUCCCAAACAUUUUGUGAUUUUUACAGUUGGGAGGCUUUUCGGUUGCAUCCCAUCCAAAGAGGGCAAUUCGCCCUGGCACAGGGCCCACGGAGGGUAGAGGGCAGGCCCUGGUGAGAGCCUAGCAGUUGGAUGAGGUGGUUUGUUUAUGAAUUUUGAGGCUGGAGAUUGGGGCCAUGUGAGAAAUGGAAGGAUUGAAGUAUCUGAGCCAGGCAGGGCUGAGCCAAAUCCCUUCAGACCAGAUGGAGAAUGAGGAUUGGAGGGGUUGGCCACCAGCCCCCAGGUGACCCAGCCUUGGGAGAUGCCCUGUCUCCUCUGAGCUGGGCGAUUCCUAGCAAGAAGCCUCCUGUCUGAAUCUUGCCUA
rnacentral:lncRNA from 1 species